AAUCAUCAACUCCAAAACCUUUGUGUUAUUGGUGCUUGGUCUUGAGGGUUAUUGUGGGCUCUUUGUGAGUCCACUCCCUUUAAAUCCAUUAGCGAGACUUCCCUGUGCUGGAACUUGUGUCUUGACAUGAUAGUCUAUCUGUGUCAAAUAUUUACAGUUCUCAUUGGGCUUGCUUCUAAUCGUCCUGUUUGGACAAUAGGAUCUGAGUGCAUUUUUUGGCACCCUUUUCCAAACCUA
rnacentral:misc_RNA from 1 species